rnacentral:rRNA from 1 species
AUGCCCGCAAAAGAUUUGGAGGAAAUUAAGAAGCAGAUCAAGGAGUUACUGGAUAAAGGCUAUAUUCGCCCAAGUUCGUCACCUUGGGGAUCACCAGUACUUCUAGUGGAGAAGAAAGAUGGAUCGCUGAGGAUGGUUGUUGAUUACCGUGGAUUGAAUGAAGUGACCAUCAAAAACAAGUACCCACUGCCGAUGAUCAAUGAUUUGUUUGACCGCCUACAAGGAGCUAAAGUAUUUUCCAAGAUCGAUCUACGAUCGGGAUACCAUCAGUUAAAGAUUCGAGAGCAGGAUAUACCUAAGACGGCUUUUACCACCAGAUAUGGACUGUAUGAGUAUACCGUUAUGUCAUUUGGUCUGACUAACGCACCUGCCUAUUUCAUGAACCUGAUGAACAAAGUAUUUAUGGAGUUUUUGGAUAAGUUCGUCGUGGUGUUCAUUGAUGAUAUUUUACUCUUUUCCAAGAAUGAGGAAGAGCAUGAGGAGCAUUUGCGAUUGGUACUUGAGAAGCUCAGAGAACAUCAGUUAUAUGCCAAGUUCAGCAAAUGUGAAUUUUGG